CGUAGGGUGCGAGCGUUGUCCGGAAUUAUUGGGCGUAAAGAGCUCGUAGGCGGUUUGUCGCGUCGACUGUGAAAACCUGGGGCUUAACUCUGGGCCUGCAGUCGAUACGGGCAGACUUGAGUUCGGUAGGGGAGACUGGAAUUCCUGGUGUAGCGGUGAAAUGCGCAGAUAUCAGGAGGAACACCGGUGGCGAAGGCGGGUCUCUGGGCCGAUACUGACGCUGAGGAGCGAAAGCGUGGGGAGCGAACAGGAUUAGAUACCCUGGUAGUCCACGCUGUAAACGUUGGGCGCUAGGUGUGGGGGAGCAUUCAUGUUUUCCGUGCCGUAGCUAACGCAUUAAGCGCCCGCCUGGGGAGUACGGCCGCAAGGCUA
rnacentral:rRNA from 1 species